GUGGCAAUGGCGGCGGCUACCAUGCAGUCGACGGAAGGCCCUUCGGGGUACUCGAGUGGCGAACGGGUGAGUAAUGGGGGGUGAUCUGCCCUGCACUCUGGGAUAAGCCUGGGAAACUGGGUCUAAUACCGGAUAGGACCACACACUUCAUGGUGAGUGGUGCAAAGCUUUUGCGGUGUGGGAUGAGCCCGCGGCCUAUCAGCUUGUUGGUGGGGUAAUGGCCCACCAAGGCGACGACGGGUAGCCGGCCUGAGAGGGUGACCGGCCACACUGGGACUGAGAUACGGCCCAGACUCCUACGGGAGGCAGCAGUGGGGAAUAUUGCACAAUGGGCGCAAGCCUGAUGCAGCGACGCCGCGUGAGGGAUGACGGCCUUCGGGUUGUAAACCUCUUUCAGUAGGGACGAAGCGAAAGUGACGGUACCUACAGAAGAAGGACCGGCCAACUACGUGCCAGCAGCCGCGGUAAUACGUAGGGUCCGAGCGUUGUCCGGAAUUACUGGGCGUAAAGAGCUCGUAGGUGGUUUGUCGCGUUGUUCGUGAAAACUCACAGCUUAACUGUGGGCGUGCGGGCGAUACUGGCAUACUAGAUUUCUGCCGGGAGACUGGAAUUCCUGGUGUAACGGUGGAAUGCG
rnacentral:rRNA from 1 species